rnacentral:lncRNA from 1 species
CAUCUCUGUUGAAAAAUUGAAUGUGAUUACAAAGAGAGGAGUUUCAUAUUGCAAUAGUAAAAUGCUGAUGCUAUUAUACCAAGAAGACUUGCUUGCCUUAUGUGUGAAGCAAAAUCUGAUAAGCUGUCUCAAAACCAGUGAGCAAUCCCCCAACAAGAAAGGGAGAAUGAUAUGAUCAGAUUGUCCUCUCAGUAUAAUCUGCUAGGGAUCCAAUAUGAGCACCUUUUGUUUGUUGCUGGAUCCAAGUGACUUUAUCCCCCAAGGACCAUUAUAAACAACAAAAGAACUUGGGCCACAGAAAGAAGGGUAAAGAGCAGCUGAGAAUGGGAAGGAGAGUGUGCCUAAUAAAGGCCUCGAGAGUUGGUCUCUUCUCUCCCUUCAAUCGCGCUCGGAUUGGGCCGGUGUGACCCCACGGGCUCUUCCUCUCCUACUUUUGCUUCCUUGCUUUCGCAGUGUCCUUUUUCAGUCCGGCUGGGUCUUACAGGAUUUUUCCAAACAUGCCUCUAGUAGAUUCAGUUUACUUCCUUAGACAGCUACCAAUCUUCUUAUUUAAUGUCUGCAGGUAUUGUAUGUUUUACUUAUCAUGUCUCCUGAUUCAAAUUUCUAUAAUAUGACCCUCAUUUUCUGAAUUUUGUAAUGUAUAAAAAGUCAUCUUUUAUUGUUGGGGGAAAAACGAGUCGCUCCG